rfam:Danio rerio chromosome 4, GRCz11 reference primary assembly.
GGCGCUGUGGCUUAGUUGGUCAAAUCGCCUGUCUAGUAAGCAGGAGAUCCUGGGUUCAAAUCCCAGCAGUGCCU